UCUUUAGACCCUUGCAAUUAUCAUUUAAGACAACGCCCCAGGGUGGGAACACAGCAAGGCACCUUACUUGAUGGUGUGCUUGGGUAUCUGGAGAAGA
rnacentral:SRP_RNA from 1 species